rnacentral:rRNA from 1 species
GACGAACCGUGCGAACGUUAUUCGGAAUCACUGGGCUUAAAGGGCGUGCAGGCGGUCUGUUAAGUUCAGGGUGAAAGCUCCCGGCUCAACUGGGAGAGGUCCUUGGAUACUGGCAGACUUGAGGGAGGUAGAGGAGAGUGGAAUUCCCGGUGUAGUGGUGAUAUGCGUAGAUAUCGGGAGGAACACCAGUGGCGAAGGCGGCUCUCUGGGCCUUUCCUGACGCUGAGACGCGAAAGCCAGGGGAGCGAACGGG